rnacentral:rRNA from 1 species
AAUAUCAAAGGUGAGCCAGUACAGGAUGGACCCGCGUCUGAUUAGCUAGUUGGUAAGGUAACGGCUUACCAAGGCGACGAUCAGUAGCCGACCUGAGAGGGGGAUCGGCCACAUUGGAACUGAGACACGGUCCAAACUCCUACGGGAGGCAGCAGUGGGGAAUAUUGCACAAUGGGCGAAAGCCUGAUGCAGCAACGCCGCGUGAGUGAUGAAGGCCUUCGGGUCGUAAAACUCUGUCCUCAAGGAAGAUAAUGACGGUACUUG